UACUUUUAAAGAUAGGUUAUCAAAUCACCAAAGCUAUGAUGACAUUAAUGGUCCCUAACAGAAGCAAUUUUUAAGCUAUAAUGCUUGGAGUGUGAGAACCUCUUUAUAUGGAGAAAGAAACAAAACUAACAAGAGGACCCAAAAUAUAAGGUACCACCUAUGGGUGAUUCAAAAUGCACUUAAGGGGGGAAAUGUAUAUUCAUCAUCACUGAAGAAAACUCACUACCUUAGAAACAGUCUAUAUAUAGGCAACGUUUUCCCUUGACUGUUGCCAAGGUAACAUCACUGAUCAUGACAUCAUAAACAUAGCAGGGAUUUGAUCAUAAAGGGAAGCAUACAUAAAUACAAGUCCCAGCACUUGGAUUUUUACAUUUCCUACACAAGGAAAGCAAGAAGCUUGAACAGUACAGAGAUUAAAGAAAAAGACCAUUUGUAACUCAUCAGGACUUCUGACACAUAACUUAUCAGCUGGAAAAAACUAUGAAGACCAUACUUCCUGAGAAGACAAGAAAACUUUUUGUGAGUAAAGAUAGAAUAAAUCCUAUGGCCUGUAUACAAUCACAGAAGUGGAGGCACUCAAAAUACUGUCAAGUUGGCGGAAGUGAAAAUAUUUCCUUGGGAAGUGAUCACCAUCUUCAAGGAGUGAAUGAAAAGAUAUCCGUGAACAAGUUCAUAUCUGAGAAGAAAAGACAAUUACUGAUCUUCUUCUGGGUGAAGUAGAUCUGAUUGUAUUUUUAGCAACAAAAAAAGUCCUUUGUAAUUAACACAAGAUCCUUUCAUCUCCAUCUUCUCCAAUGAAAUUUGAACAACUCAAAAGACAACCCCAAGAUAACUCCUGACUCUUUCUCACGUCUGUCCAUGUCUUUUGUUAUCAACACCAAAGGGGCACAACAAAAAAUCCUAGACAUUUCUGCCUAUCCCCCUACGGGCUUCGGCUUCUGCACCAAGAAACUAAACGAUGAAACGAAAUCAACACAAAUACUUUGACUAAUUCAAGCACAAGUCACACAAUAAAGAACAAUAAAUAACAUCA